GCUGUGAUGGCCGAGUGGUUAAGGCGUUGGACUUGAAAUCCAAGGUUCGAACCCUGCUCGCAGCG